CAGCCGCCACGGGAAUACGUAGGGCGCAAGCGUUGUCCGGAAUUAUUGGGCGUAAAGAGCUCGUAGGCGGUCUGUCGCGUCUGGUGUGAAAUCCCGAGGCUCAACCUCGGGCUUGCAUCGGGUACGGGCAGACUAGAGUGCGGUAGGGGAGACUGGAAUUCCUGGUGUAGCGGUGGAAUGCGCAGAUAUCAGGAGGAACACCGAUGGCGAAGGCAGGUCUCUGGGCCGCAACUGACGCUGAGGAGCGAAAGCAUGGGGAGCGAACAGGAUUAGAUACCCCCGUAGUCCCUGUCUCUUAUAC
rnacentral:rRNA from 1 species